rnacentral:lncRNA from 1 species
AAGGGUCGAAGCUUUCUUCUUUAUUCAUCUGCAACUUCGCAACUAUGACAUUCAGUUCAUACACAGCUAACAAAAUCCGAACAAAUAGCAAACUUUUGAACCAAAGCAACUGCAUCUUAUCAUCAAAAUCCAACCAUAUACUAUGCAUACCCCAGGAUUCUUCAACCCAGAUCACGCACAACAGACAACCAAAAAACAGUCAUGAACUCUCGCACACCCAGCAACUAACCUCACAUGAAUUCCCAAACAAAGUUUUGAAACAUGUCUCAGACAAGGAAUAUCUUUCUUAAGAUGACAAGGAAUAUCUCUCUCCAACUCAUCAAGGAUUAGCAAACAUGUAGCAAGUGAUAAAAAACCAGCUUUCAACUCGCAGACAUGAAGAUCUAAGUGAUAAAGGCAGCAUAGCUACAACAACAGUCAGACAGUUCAAGAUUCACAUCUUAUAGCCUUCGAUUCUCAUGGACAAUAGUGUUAAGGGAUCCAAGAAAGAUGCUAGGAUUACCUUGAACCUUUUGUAAAGCAGGAAUAAACGUGAAAAUCCUUCAAGAGAUCACGAUAAUCUAGAAAUGCAGUUCAAGAAGACUUGCUGCAGAAAUUUCAGCGUUGACGAAAUCAGCACUUUGGGUCGCGAUUUGAGAGGGUUAAAGGGAUUUUUUCUGAAUGAUUUCUUCACUAGCGUUGCUCAUGGGUAUCCGUAGAUGGUGCAGAAAAAGAAAUCUCGCUCUUAGGGUUAGAGGUUAGGUCGGAAUCUGACUGGAAAGUGGGCUAGUUCGCCAGCCUGUUAAUGGGUAUUUUGUAGAAAAAAUUUCUGCACUUUUCUGUUUUCUAUCUCGUUGUCUCCUUUUUUUUUCUUCCUGAUUUCCUAGACUUCCUUCAGCCGUCACCUUCCCUCCAGUCUCUCCUCCCUUCUCUCGAUUCUUUCCUCCCUUUCUUUUUUCUUUCUUUUUUCCUGCCCGAAAGCUCUCUUUCUUUUCCUCCCCAAUUUCUUCCUUUUUCUGGUUUCUUUCUCUUCCUUUCUGUUGUUUCCUCCUCCUCCCUUGCUUGCUCUCUUGAUCCUCAGUCGUCACCUCCUCUCCCAAUCUCCCUUCCUCUCUCGGUUCCUUUUCCUUCCUUUCUUCUCCCUUUUGCUUUCUACCGAAACCCUCUUUUUUUUUUCUUUGUUUCUCCUCUGCCUUCCUCUCCCCUGAAGCCUCUCUUCUUGUUCCAAAGCUUCCCUUUUUCUUUUCUAUUCAACCAUUCCCUUUUUUCUAUCCCCC